rnacentral:rRNA from 1 species
AACGAACGCUGGCGGCAUGCCUAACACAUGCCAGUCGAACGAGACCUUCGGGUCUAGUGGCGCACGGGUGCGUAACGCGUGGGAACCUGCCCUUAGGUUCGGAAUAACUCCCCGAAAGGGGUGCUAAUACCGGAUAAUGUCUUCGGACCAAAGAUUUAUCGCCUUUGGAUGGGCCCGCGUUGGAUUAGCUAGUUGGUAGGGUAAAAGCCUACCAAGGCGACGAUCCAUAGCUGGUCUGAGAGGAUGAUCAGCCACACUGGGACAGAGACACGGCCCAGACGGGAAGGGGGGGCAGAAGGGAGGAAUGUGGCACAGUGGGCGGAAGGCGGGUGCAAGCACGCCGCGGGCGGGAUGACUGGCUGCGGGUGGUAAACCGCUUGCGCCUGUGACGGAGCGAGAGGGACGGUAAAGGGUAAAGAAGCACCGGCUAACUACGUG